UGUGUUCGAUUAGGUUUGAUCAAUAUCAUAAUUUUAACACUCUUAAGCUGCUGCUGGACUUCUGUAGUCCAUCUUCGAUACUCUCUUUGUACCAGCAGAACAAACCCCCUCUCUCAGAGUUGGAAGAUGAAGAUCAGAAAUCCAGGGGCAGCUACACACCCCACAUAUUUUUCUUCCCCUCAGCACUUGAAGAACGCUAGUCGGCGAUAUAACUUUCCAUGCCAAUUUUCAGUUAAAGGUGAUAAAGGUACUAGCGCUAGUGCUCCGAUUACGGAUCAGCAGAGAGGCGCGUGAUGUGGAUGGCCUGGACUAGUGUUGAAGUGAUGGUGAUAUAGGUACUAGCGCUAGUGCUCCGACUGCGGAUCAGCAGGGAGGCGUGUGAUGUGGAUGGCCUGGAAUAAUGUUGGUGUGAUGGUUUUUUUUAUUAUUAUUUUUGUGUAGUGUUAAUGUUGGGGUGUUUGAUUAGUCUUUGGCUUAGUUGUGUAUUGGGAUACAUACGAGUACAUAUUGUUAUAAAUGAGCGAUGAUUUUGGAUGGUUUGGCCAGAGACCUUAGUAUAUAUAUAUAUAUAUGCGUAUCGGUGUGAUGAUGGAUAUGGCCUGAGGCCCUGAUUGAUUGGCUUUGUGGUAUGGGAAUUGUUUGGUUUAAAUUCCUAUUUUGAUGCAGGGGGCAUUCUCCGAUAUACGGGGAGAUGCUGUUGGAUUUUUGCCUACUAACAGUGCAUUACUUCCAUUAAGCAUGUAUGUGCCUAUUAAUGCAGUGGAGAGCUUUCACCGGUAAAAAUGAAACAUAAUGGAACUAGAGACUUGAUGUAGAACAAGCACAAGCAGCCGAACAAGCAGUAGAUGAUUUCUAUGAG